GGACUGCAUCUCUGUAAAGAAACAGAUAUCAGAGAUGGAAGUUUAAGAGUGUUCUGCAGUGUGUUCCAGUCAUUUGCAGCGGUAAAGUGGAAGGCGUUA